rnacentral:rRNA from 1 species
UUUGCGGUGUGGGAUGGGCCCGCGGCCUAUCAGCUUGUUGGUGAGGUUACGGCUCACCAAGGCGACGACGGGUAGCCGGCCUGAGAGGGUGUCCGGCCACACUGGGACUGAGAUACGGCCCAGACUCCUACGGGAGGCAGCAGUGGGGAAUAUUGCACAAUGGGCGCAAGCCUGAUGCAGCGACGCCGCGUGAGGGAUGACGGCCUUCGGGUUGUAAACCUCUUUCAGCACAGACGAAGCGCAAGUGACAGUACCUGGAGAAGAAGCACCGGCCAACUACGUGCCAGCAGCCGCGGUAAUACGUAGGGUGCGAGCGUUGUCCGGAAUUACUGGGCGUAAAGAGCUCGUAGGUGGUUUGUCGCGUUGUUCGA